rnacentral:rRNA from 1 species
AACGAACGCUGGCGGCGUGGAUAAGACAUGCAAGUCGAACGGGAUUAUUUUUGUAGCAAUACAGAAAUAAUUCAGUGGCGAACGGGUGCGUAACACGUGGGCAAUCUGCCGAAAAGUGGGGAGUAGCUCGCCGAAAGGCGAAUUAAUACCGCAUGUGGUGAGGGACGACAUCUUCCUGAAUACCAAAGCCGGGGCAACCUGGCGCUUUUGAGGAGCCCGCGGCCUAUCAGCUUGUUGGCGGGGUAACGGCCCACCAAGGCUAUGACGGGUAGCUGGUCUGAGAGGACGACCAGUCACACUGGAACUGAGACACGGUCCAGACACCUACGGGUGGCAGCAGUCGAGAAUUUUUC